rnacentral:rRNA from 1 species
AUUGAACGCUGGCGGCAGGCCUAACACAUGCAAGUCGAGCGGAUGAAGGGAGCUUGCUCCUGGAUUCAGCGGCGGACGGGUGAGUAAUGCCUAGGAAUCUGCCUGGUAGUGGGGGAUAACGUCCGGAAACGGGCGCUAAUACCGCAUACGUCCUGAGGGAGAAAGUGGGGGAUCUUCGGACCUCACGCUAUCAGAUGAGCCUAGUUCGGAUUAGCUAGUUGGUGGGGUAAAGGCCUACCAAGGCGACGAUCCGUAACUGGUCUGAGAGGAUGAUCAGUCACACUGGAACUGAGACACGGUCCAGACUCCUACGGGAGGCAGCAGUGGGGAAUAUUGGACAAUGGGCGAAAGCCUGAUCCAGCCAUGCCGCGUGUGUGAAGAAGGUCUUCGGAUUGUAAAGCACUUUAAGUUGGGAGGAAGGACAGUAAGUUAAUACCUUGCUGUUUUGACGUUACCGACAGAAUAAGCACCGGCUAACUUCGUG